rnacentral:rRNA from 1 species
ACGCUGGCGGCAGGCCUAACACAUGCAAUUCGAGCGGCAGCGGAAAGUACCUUGCUACUUUGCCGGCGAGCGGCGGACGGGUGAUUAAUGUCUGGAAAACUGCCUGAUGGAGGGGGAUAACUACUGAAAACGGUACCUAAUACCGCAUAACGUCCCAAGACCAAAGAGGGGGACCUUCGGGCCUCUUGCCAUCAAAUGUGCCCAGAUGGGAUUACCUAGUAGGUGGGGUAACGGCUCACCUAGGCGACAAUCCCUAGCUGGUCUGAAAGGAUGACCACCCACACUGGAACUGAAACACGGUCCAAACUCCUACGGGAGGCAGCAGUGGGGAAUAUUGCACAAGGGGCGCAAGCCUGAUGCACCCAUGCCGCGUGUAUGAAAAAGGCCUUCGGUUUGUAAAGUACUUUCAGCGGGGAGGAAGGCGUUGAGGUUAAUAACCUCAGCGAUUGACGUUACCCGCAAAAAAAGCACCGGCUAACUCCGUGCCAGCAGCCGCGGUAAUACGGAGGGUGCAAGCGUUAAUCGAAAUUACGGGGCGUAAAGCGCACGCAGGCGGUCUGUCAAGUCGGAUGUGAAAUCCCCGGGCUCAACCUGGAAACUGCAUUCGAAACUGGCAGGCUAGAGUCUUGUAGAGGGGGGUAGAAUUCCGGGUGUAGCGGUGAAAUGCGUAGAGAUCUGGAGAAAUACCGGUGCCAAAGGCGGCCCCCUGAACAAAGACUGACGCUCAGGUGCGAAAGCGUGGGAAGCAAACAGGAAUAAAUACUCUUGAUAGUCACGCCGAAACAAUGUCCACUUGGAGGUUGUGCCUUGGAGGCGUGCCCUUCCAGGACCUAACCGCUAUAAGUCAACCGCCUAGGGAAAUAACGGCCCGCAAGGUUAAACACCUCAAAUGAA